rnacentral:rRNA from 1 species
UUAAAUAAUUGACGGGGCCCGCACAAGCGGUGGAGCAUGUGGUUUAAUUCGAAGCAACGCGAAGAACCUUACCAGGUCUUGACAUCCCCUGACAACCCAAGAGAUUGGGCGUUCCCCUUCGGGGGACAGGGUGACAGGUGGUGCAUGGUUGUCGUCAGCUCGUGUCGUGAGAUGUUGGGUUAAGUCCCGCAACGAGCGCAACCCUUGUCUCUAGUUACCAUCAUUUGGUUGGGGACUCUAGAGAUACUGCCAAGGUUAACUUGGAGGAAGGUGGGGAUGACGUCAAGUCCUCAUGGCCUUUAUGUCCAGGGCUACACACGUGCUACAAUGGCCUGUACAAAGGGCAGCAAAGGGGCGACCCGGAGCAAAUCCCAAAAAACAGGUCUCAGUUCGGAUUGCAGGCUGCAACUCGCCUGCAUGAAGGCGGAAUCGCUAGUAAUCGCAGGUCAGCAUACUGCGGUGAAUACGUUCCCGGGCCUU